CCUCCAAGAUCUUCCUUUAAAAUGGUCCUCAACAACAACCGCCAUUGACAAAAUGGGCAUUAGCAGGAUACGCCAUUUUCGAAUUUCAUAUGGUGGUUUUAAUGUGAUUCGAGGUCAGCUAUAUCGUUGCCAAGCCGCUAUUGUUUUGUUCUAUCUUGUUAGACACUGAGCAACAUCAACAAUAUUUAACUCGUAAUCCCAAUGCAAGAGGUUGGCGAUAUAAACUCUCAACAAAUCAACAUGCUCCUUCAAUCUAAUUAAAUGCAGAAGCAUGAAAAUUUUACACGACUAUAGCAUGUUUUGUUGUGGAUUUCAUUUUCCAUAUGUGCUGGUUUGUUUCAAAAGUUAUUUACUUGGGUAACUAAAGAAUUGGUGGUUGCUUUAUGAGUUUUUCUUAGGGAUGCAAAUAUUGCUAUAGUAUUGGUAAGUAGUCUGUGGCCAAUGACAAAGAAUGACUUCUUUUAAUUUUAAGCCUUAAGCUGUUUUGCAUACAUGUGAUUAAUUUGGUGCUUUGGUACUAGGACUGCAGUUUUUUUUUAGAUUUACUGUCACACGUGUAAUUCCUGCAUUAUAGUUGAGGCAUGUUGGUGUAAUUACUUGCCCAUAUAUUGUCAAGACUAGUUCAUAUUAUAUACUCAUUGCAGUUUACAUGAAGCAUGGUGACUUGCAUCUAGGUGGCUUGGUAGGUUACCAAUGUUAUAAAGAACCUUAACGCCAUAAAAUUUUCAUAAGAUGAUAUUUUUUUCCCCUUUUUUUGUGGUUUAAGUUUUAUUAUUAACAGAAAUGACUGGUUUUGUAUAUAUAAAGUUUGAAUAUUUUGAAUUUUAUAUUUUAGCAAUACUUUCUAUGCAUUCUUGUUGGUUUGUGUUUAAUACUUGAUUGAGGGAUGGAUUUUACUUGGAGGCUAGGGGCUUUAAUUCAUUGUGUAUGACACUAUGUGUUUCACGAUUGUUUAUGUUUGUGACAAGGAAAUUUGUACAUGAUUAAUUGAUUCUAAUUAAUGUCCACUACAUGCUCAGACCAUAAUAAACUUAUUAUAAUAAUCUGACGAAUAUGUUUUAUGAAGAAUUAAGACUUCUUAAGACAUUUAGUUACUUCUAUCAUGAUGUUUAACAGUGCUAAAGAAGCAAAAGCCUAAUUGAGGAAUAAUUGAGGAAUAAGACAUUUAGUUACUUCUAUUAUAAGUUUAUGGCUUGUUUCAUACCAGUUUAUUGCUUCAUAAGAAGAUGACUUGGAUGGAAUAAUUGAGGAAGGAUAUGAGAGACUUAGGUAUAGAAGUUCAUAUGACAAGAGAUAGGAAUGCAUGAAGAAAGGCAAUUUAUGUGGAUUAUAAGAAGAAGUAGAUUAUUGGUUCAUGUACUAGGCUUGGGCAUUGUGGUUGUUGUAAGCCAAAAAACACUAGUCUUGGAAACUGAGAUUGAUGGGCUGAAAGCUGAAACAAGACUAACUUUAUGAAUGCAAAGAUAUUUUUCUCUUCCGUGCCAAUGCAUCUACCACCCUGGGGAAUUUCAUGCGCUGGUUCUGCUUUUAUACUAAGCUGUUGCCAAUAUAAGUCUGGUAUGACGUUUGGCAUUUCCAAGAGGCCGUUUCACAAUUAAGUUCCAAUGAUAGGAAUUCAGGGUUAGAUCCCUUUAAAUUUUUGAGGGGUUCUUAUUUUCUUUUUUUUUAAUUCUAGUUUAGUCAGGAAGCAGCUGAAUAUAAGACACGCAGGAGGCGAAAUUUAUUAUGAGGCUUUUAAGACUUGCUUAGUAGGGAGUUUUUAGAUUGAGAUCUCAACUGCAUUGAGCCAUAGCUGUAGAUGCGGACCUCGUGGCAGAAGCAUUUUGGAAGCAUCAAAAGGACUCUCUUUUCAGUUGCAAUUAUGAUUUAUGACAACAUAGAUAUGAGCUGUUAAUUUAUAUCCUUGAAAAAUUUAUGGAUUGUUUCUUGCUGUAUAUUUAUGUUGGAUUAUGGAUGAAGCAUAGUGGAAGAUUUAUGACACAAGGUAUCUGAUUUAUUGUUGGCAGAUAUAUUGUAUGCCAUUUUAUAUGCACUUCUUAUCGUCCUCUGCAUUGUGGAGCUCAUCAAAAAUUUUGAAUUUGGUUUAUCUAGUUUAACCGCAGAGGCGCAGAUGUCUUAAGGAGGCAGAAAAUGUUUUAGCUGGUAUUGUUCAAGCUUGAAAGGUUAUCUGAUUACUUUUUGCGACGGCAUGCUACUUCUCCACUUGUAUACAGUGGACAUAUUUAUUUAUUGCCUUUUGAAGUCUUUUCAUAUAUACACACAACUGCUGACACUAUAUGUUCACUAUUUUCAGCUCACUGGAACACAAAUGAGCUCAUUAAUAAUGUAGGAUAGUUAUUAUCUCACCCUGUUUGCUCUUUUGUGCAUCUUUUUACAAAUCCAAAAUAUUAGUUAUCAAGCAUUUAUAUCAAGGUUUUUGUAAUAUCUUACACCGGGACAAUGCCCGAAUAAAAUGACAAUGCCUUGUAAGCAAUAUUCACGCUGGAUGUAAUUUAUAUAACCCUACUAAAUAGGGUUCUGUAACCUACUAGCCUUAAUCUACAUACUCUCAAGCUAUCUAGUCAAUAGUGUGAAAGGGGUCAGAACAAACAAUUAUCUGCCCGACUGAAAAAAGGAAUAUAGGAUUGCAUGAAAGAGUAGCUACGAUGUCAUCAACAUAUAUCAACAUCAGUCUGAACCUUGCUCUUCAUAGGCUUUCCUAUUUGUAAACAACCAAGUGGAGGAGCAAUUGGAGCCAUUAGCUCCCCAAAUGAUUGCCAACAGUAGGGAUCGUACAAGUGAUGUUGUUCUUGCAAUGGCGUUAGUUGUAUGGUAUUUAGUGUUAUGUCUGUGCAUGGUAGCUCAUCACUGCAGGCUAAAUGUACAGGCUUUACAGUGUAUGUGCCUUUUAUAUUCUGAUAUGUGACUCCUGAUACUGCAACAGCUGCUGAUGCAUUCUUGCAUGUGCUCUUAUCACAAUAAUAUUGGUCGAUUACAAUUGGAAGCUGAACUUCACUGACUUGAAUGUUUGAAAAUGUUAUGCCUUGCACAGAUCCUGAGCCGCCCUGCAUAAUGAAACAGUUGGAGGCAUAUAAGUGAAUUUUCCUUGCAUAUGAUCAAUCACAGGAUCAUGAUCUUGUUUUUUAUGUAACCCAGUAAUUUAGGUGAUAUUGCUUCUUUAGCUCCAGCAUUCUAUUUUUUUUCUCAAAUUGUCAAUCUGUCAUCUAUCUGGAGUUUAGUGAGUUAUACAAUUAAAUUGAUUCUUUGCUGUGUUGUCUACUAGUGAAUAGUGAUCACGUUGAUUAUACUGGUUAAUGGUAUAAAAUUUUAACUGUGAUGUAUACCUGCCAUGUCUUUAUCCGGACUCCAGUCAUCGUGCCUUGUAUGUUGACGUCUCUGACAGUGAUGUUUGAGACACAGGCUUUAGAGUCAUACCUUCCCAGACUUCCAAUACUGAUGCCAUGUCCUGGUCCACAGUUUACACUGUGGAUGUAUACAUUUGAGCAUCCUGUUUGUAUGGAUAUGCAGUCAUCACCUGCAUUUAGUAGUUUGUUGUUAGAUACUGCCACCUUGCCAUGUGAAGCAUUUUAUAUUUUUGUGUUUAUGUAAUUCAAAUUGUUGUCUGUGUUAGAGUUUGUUUAAAGCUUUCAUUCCAGCUAUGUUUUUUAGAGAAAUUAAAAUUAAAUUGUAAAUAGACUUAUGGUUAUGGAGAAGGACCAAUACAAGGUUCUGGUAGAUGGCGUCUUUCUUGGUUUCAUAUUGUGGUCCUGUAUUCAUUAUUCAAUGGUAACCUGAUGUUUUUAAUGUGAUGGUUGUGGUUAUAGCCCCAUAAGCCCAGAACAAAAAUUAUCUGGAAGAUGGCUCUUGCUAUGUGACAAUGGAAACUUUAUUGCCAGGUUGGUCAUUUGGAGGCAAGGCUGCUAGAGUGAAUGAGCACAUCUUUUGAAUUUUGGAGGUGGAUUCCAUCAGUAUUAGGACUGUCACCAGAAACUAGAAAGGUGAAGAUUAUUACCGGCAUAGGGGGCUUUUCUAGGAUUGUGUCAUUUAUGAUGAUUUGCAAUUCAUGGUGAUCUUCUAGAUCGUAUGGAGCGUCUGUCCACCAAGCAGAGCCACUUCCAUCAAUUACGCCUCUUCCUUGUAUGGUGAUUCCUACUAGUUUUGUGAAGUCCAUCCACCACAAGAGAUUAGAUUUCCAUGCAGUGGGGCUUGUUGGAGCAAUAAUAGUCCCAUCUAGCUGGAUCGUAUUUUACAAGCCAGUAAGGACCAGAGAAUGUUAUGGGUCCCACCAGAAAUUGAUAUCCUGAUGGAAUUAGCAUCGUUGAUGACUGAACUUUGCAAGCUUCAGUCCAUGUAGCUUCAAAUGCCUGCAUUGCACCAUGGCAUGAAUACAUUUGUUGUAGCGGUUAAAAAUCUCUCCAAUCACAAAUAUGGUGAUAUCUAUCUGGCUGUUUUUAAAUUUUAGUUGAUAAUUGUUGGAGUCUGGACCCAAUUUGCCGUAACGAGAAAAUUUGUCAUUGGUCCCAAACCUAUUAACUUUGUCCCUUUUAUCUGGCCCUUCCGUCCACACUCAAAAUUGUAAUACAACGUUUGUCAGAAUAUCACAAGCAGAGGGAUGUUUUUCGCUGUUUUUGAGGAACACGAGUCUCUUUUACUGUAGACUCAAUGUACGUCUCACUCGACUACCCUUUAUUUCUUGCUUGCUGUGGCCUGUUACCUAAGAAGUUGGUCAGUUAUUUUCCAUAAAGGGUCUACUAGAACAACCUUUUUCCAAUUAUGAUAGCAAAGGAUUUGGUGGUGACAUAGCUUUAGGAGGUGACCCUUUUAAGUAUGGAGCUUUCUGAAUUGGCGGAGGCAAUGGCGGUGUGCCAACUUCUGGACUCGGCGUUGGUAUUGUUGGAGACGCAGGUUUUGGCUUUGGUUUUGG